AUUGAACGCUGGCGGCAGGCUUAACACAUGCAAGUCGAGCGGUUGAGGGGAGCUUGCUCCCUGAUUCAGCGGCGGACGGGUGAGUAAUGCCUAGGAAUCUGCCUAUUAGUGGGGGACAACGUUUCGAAAGGAACGCUAAUACCGCAUACGUCCUACGGGAGAAAGCAGGGGACCUUCGGGCCUUGAGCUAUUAGAUGAGCCUAGGUCGGAUUAGCUUGUUGGUGAGGUAAUGGCUCAACAAGGAGACGAUCCGUAACUGGUCUGAGAGGAGGAACAGUCACACUGGAACUGAGACACGGUCCAGACUCCUACGGGAGGCAGCAGUGGGGAAUAUUGGACAAUGGGCGAAAGCCUGAUCCAGUCAUGCCGCGUGUGUGAAGAAGGUCUUCGUAUUGUAAAGCACUUUAAGUUGGGAGGAAGGGUUGUAGAUUAAUACUCUGCAAUUUUGACGUUACCGACAGAAUAAGCACCGGCUAACUCUGUGCCAGCAGCCGCCGUAAUAC
rnacentral:rRNA from 1 species